CAAUAGCGUAUAUUUAAGUUGUUGCAGUUAAAAAGCUCGUAGUUGGAUUUCGGGUUGGCUUCAGCGGUCUCGCUUUGCGUUUGUACUGCUGCAGCCUACCUUCUUGUCGGGGACGGGCCUUCGGGCUUAAUUGCUUGGGGCCCGGAGUCGACGAUGUUACUUUUAGUAAAUUAGAGUGUUCAAAGCAAGCCUACGCUCUGAAUAUAAUAGCAUGGGAUAACACGACAGGACUCUGGCCUAUCGUGUUGGUCUGUAGGACCAGAGUAAUGAUUAAGAGGGACAGUCGGGGGCAUUCGUAUUCCGUUGUCAGAGGUGAAAUUCUUGGAUUUACGGAAGACGAACAUCUGCGAAAGCAUUUGCCAAGGAUGUUUUCAUUGA
rnacentral:rRNA from 1 species